UUAUUGAAUGGCUGAAAAGAAAGCAAUGGUCUCUUAAACCACUUAUAGUACUCGUAUACUUUCAAUAAA
rnacentral:tRNA from 1 species